AUAACAAGAACAACAAGCGAAACACCCAAUAACAAUAACAGGCAGCGGUUCUGACAUAACAAGAACAACACGGCAGAGACGCAGCAAGCAGAUUUUUUUGAAGUCGAUGUGCACGGCAGGUCAACCGACACAGAACAACAAGACUACCUCGAGGUAGUGACGGUCGGACACAGGCUCGCAGGCAAUUGCAGAUCAGCGCUCAAAAAAAUACGUUUGCUCUUGACCCCGGAUGGGGGUCGUUCGCGACACCGAGACAUGGCUGACAAUCACAACAACAGGCCGGUCCUCGAUAACAAUAAGAGCACGCAGCAACAUUUCGGGGGGAGCUUAGGCUCCCCCUCGUGCUUUGCGCUCACCCGUUCUCUUCCUCUU
rnacentral:sRNA from 1 species